GCUCCCAUGGCGUAGUGGUCACUGCGCUCGCCUUGCACGCGGGAGACCCAGGUUAGAUUCCCGGCGGGGUCA
rfam:Asian citrus Psyllid, Diaphorina citri - Florida Strain, whole genome shotgun sequence.